GCCUGGCUAGCUCAGUCGGUAGAGCAUGAGACUCUUGUCUCAGGGUCGUGGUUUGAGCCCACGUCGGGCA